AGGAGGAGGAGGAGGAGGAGGAGAAAGUGGCUCUCAGCGGCCGGUCGGAUUAAAAGUAACCAGACUCGUCCAGAAAACUGCGUCCAGGAAGGAAGUGACAGAAGACGAAUGGGAAAAGGAGAACAGCUCACAGCGUUUGAAACAUCGCGGCACCACUUUCAGAUAAAAACAUAGACCUGAAUGGCAUCAUCCAGUAUCCAAGGAAACCAUGUUCUCUAAACAUGAAUAUGCCUUUGGGGGAAGACAGAAGAACAUGGAAGCCAUGUGAAAAAAACGGAUCCUAAGGCAGUUUUGAACAUCUGGAGGCCUGAUUUAUUGGAGAUUGCAAAUGUACAGUGUAACAUAGCUGUGGAGAGCGAGAAGAUCAGGAUUGUCAAUGCUGUCAUUGCUUUUACUGGAAUCCCCAGCACGAAUUGAAGGUUUGACCAGAGACAAAGAAGCAAAUGCUAUCAAUUAACAUUCACAUGUGGUAGGUCUCACUUUGCCACCUAGGCUGGAUGCAAUGCAACGGUAUGUUGAUCUUGGUUCACUGCAGCCUCAACCUCCUGAGCUCAUGUGAUCCUCCCACCUCAGUCCCCCACGUCGCUUGGAUUACAGGCCUGUGCCACCACACCUGGCUAACUUUUUUUGUAAUUUUUGUAGAGACAGGGUCUCACUAUGUUUCCCAUGCUGGUCUUUAAUGCCUGAGCUCAAGCCAUCCGCCUGCCUCGGCCUCCCAAAUUGCUGGGAUUACAGGCAUGAGCCACCAUGCCCAGCCUAAUUCUUCUAAAUCUUAUCCUAGUAAUUAAGCCAGAAUUUUUCUCUGCCAAGACCAAUAGAUGGACCAAGAAGUACUCAUCCUUGUAAACUUUCUUUGGAUAAAUUGCUUACAUAUAAUAAAUUCAGAGUUAAGUAAUAAAAAUAAUGAACUACUGUCUUGAAUUAUUUGUUCUCAAAUAAUUUCCCUUAAACCCAUUCACACUCGUAUCAGUUUCUUCAUGUCCUUUCAUCCUGAGGGCAGCACACGGCCCUGUGAGAGAUGCACAGUAAUCCUACUAGCCGUGAACUGAGUCUGGA
rnacentral:lncRNA from 1 species